AACAAGGCGUACCUGCGGACCUGCGGAGGGAUCAUUACACAAUACAAUAUGAAGGCUGUCCGCAGCUGGAGUAUUUUAUUACCCUUGUCUUUUGCGCACUUGUUGUUUCCUGGGCGGGUUCGCUCGCCACCAGGACCACCAAAUAAACCUUUUUUAUGCAGUUGCAAUCAGCGUCAGUACAAACAAUGUAAAUCAUUUACAACUUUUAACAAUGGAUCU
rnacentral:misc_RNA from 1 species